UUUUUUCCCAUCAUAUCCUCUUUCCCUUCUCAUCUUCUAUCUAAAAACCUAAUUUCAAAAUCCUCAAUCGUAUGUUUCCAUCUCCAUGAUCUGAUACAGCCAAAUGUUUGUUAUGCUGUCGCAGGGGAUUCACCAAGUUCAGCCGUACAGAUUAUUUGCAGUGGAAAUCUGAAAAUCGUAUCGUCUUUGAUGGUGUUAACGCCAAGGUAUAUCAUCCCUACCCCUGCCGAUAUCUCUUGAUCAUUAAUAAAAGUUAUCAGUUUUAUGAAAUCUUCUUACUAUGCUUUUUUAGUUGAAUUACAUUAAGGAAGAAAGACAAAAUUUAGUUCCCUGCUAUCCUUUUUAGUAGAUUAUGAUAGAAAGAUCCAAAAUCUCUUUGUUAGGUUGUAUAAUUGUUAGUUUUAUUGUUUUUUUCUUCAGUUAAACCAUAUUAAAUAAAAAAUUAUACCAGAAAGCAAAAACUAAAUCAUGCCAGGUAAUCAAACUUUGAAUAUGCAGCACAUUCAAAUCAUAUAUUGAUGCGAGCUGCAAUAAUGAUGUUAUAAUUGUGGUUGCUCAUAAAGUAACAAAAAAUGUUAUAAUUGUGGUUGCUUAAAGUAACAAAAUUCCAGUUACAACAUCUCAUUUGCUUUCAAGAAAGAUUAAAAAAAAAAAACAGAUGAGGAUUUAUAUCCAAGUGAUACCUCAACUCCCCUGAUGGAUUUACUUUAAAGAAGGCAAAACGCCUAUGGCAAAAAAAAGGGUACAAUCUUUUAAUUAGCAAGGAAAACAAAAUUAUAAAAGAAAGAUAUGAUUUUUCAAGAAUUCUAAGGCUUUUUUGGUUUUUUAACCGGUUCGGUUAAUAACCGGUUUUUUCAGUUAAUCAACCGGUUUUCCCUUUUUUUGUUUAUUCGGUUAAUCAGUAAAUCGGUUAAAACCGGUUAAAAAAUUGGUUAAUAACCCAUUCCACUACUAAAUAUCAUUAAGCUGUUACUACUCUAAUGGUUAUUAACCAGUUUCGGUUUCGAUUAACAAACGGUUAUAAUGUGCACCUCUAAACAUGGUCCUUAGAAACAGAAUCGAACAUUAUUACUCUUAAUAUAACCCGUUUGUGUUAUAUAUUUAAAUCUCUUUUUGAAAUUUUCAUUCUCUCAAAUAACACAUUUCCAUUUUAUUAGAAAAUACUAUUAUUGAAUGAAAGACGAUUUAUGCGAUUCUCAAAGAAAUAAGUUUUUAUUAAAAGUGUCAUUUUUUAACUUAGAGAAAUUUGCUCAAAUUUUAUCAUUUAGCAAGUCAAAAAUAAGCAAUUUUUAAGAACCAGUUAUUAAAUCAUACAAGAUUGAGCUUAAAAAUGGUUCAACCCAUUGAACCGGGUUGUACAUGACGGUUGGUUAAUGGAUUAUACUUUAGAAUUGAAUAUGAUGAUUAAUAAAAAUAAGUAGAUGCCGACGUAUUUCAGUUUAAUGUCGGUUUAGCUGUUGUUAAAAGCUAGCCGAGAGUCACCAACCAGAUUCGACCAAUAUCAAAUAUCGGUUUAUACACCGAACCCAUUUUGACCUGCCCCUACUUCAUACCAUGUUCCAUGGUAGCCGAAGAAACAUGACCCAUUGCAACAGGUCCUGGAACAAAAACAGGUCGGUCGUUACAUUCACCAAAGGAGGUCUGAGUCGAAAAGGUCUGCAGGGAUAAACAUAAGCAGCCUCGGAUUUGGCAGGAUGUUAGUCAUGUCAAGGGGUGAGUUUUGUGCUUAAAGACGCUCCCUCGCAUAUCGUGAAUGAUCUUCCGUUAAAGCUCCAAGGUUUUGUCCUCAAAAUCAGUGAAAGGCAGAUAUAAAUAACACAAAGGCUUAAGAAGUUGGAAGAGAACUCAGAGUAAUCAAAGUUUGUCCUCCAAGGUUUUGUCCUCGCAACUAUAUUAAACUACAGAUACAAAGAGUUUCCUUGGCUUUGGCCGGCUAGCUGAAGAGUAAAAGAAAUAGAAAUGAUGAUUGCCAUUUGCACAAAAGUAAAAAAUGUAAGUCAUAGUCAUGUUACUCUUUCAUUGCCAUUUGUAAACUCAGUUUUUCUUUGAUUGUGGAAGCGGCUGGUGUACACUUCCAUGGAGUGGUUCUCAUGUAAAUAUUCCCACUUCACAGUUUUUGAUUUAGUUUUAUAAUAUUUUUAUACACGUAUCCUAAAAUAAUGGCAUCUUUAUACAUCUUAUUUUCUU
rnacentral:lncRNA from 1 species